AGAUAUUUUAAACACAAAAAUAUUCGCCAGAGAAUUACGAGCUAAACAUGCUUAAAACUCUAAGGACUUGGCGGUACCUCAAACCCACCUAGAGGAGCCUGUUCUAUAAUCGACAAUCCACGAUUCACCUCACCAUCUCUUGCCAACUCCGCCUAUAUACCGCCGUCAAGCUUACCUUAUGAGAGAUAAAAAGUAAGCAAAAUAAUCUAAACAAUUAAUAAAUCAGGUCAAGGUGUAGCUUACUGAGAUGGAAGAAAUGGGCUACAUUUUCUAUACUAGAAAUAACUACGGAAAGAUACCCUGAAAUAGGUUCUACAAGCAGGAUUUAGCAGUAAACUGGGAAAAGAGAGCCCAA
rnacentral:rRNA from 1 species